UGCAGUGGCGCAAUCUCGGCUCACUGCAAGCUCCGCUUCCCGGGUUCACGCCAUUCUCCUGCCUCAGCCUCCCGAGUAGCUGGGACUACAGGCGCCCGCCACCGCGCCCGGCUAAUUUUUUGUAUUUUUAGUAGAGACGGGGUUUCACCUUGUUAGCCAGGAUGGUCUCGAUCUCCUGACCUCAUGAUCCACCCGCCUCGGCCUCCCAAAGUGCUGGGAUUACAGGCGUGAGCCACCGCGCCCAACCGAUCUGAUGGUUUUAUAGGAGGAGUUCCUCUAAGAAGAGCCCCACCAUGCCCCUCUCCAGUAAAUAAUUUCCUUUAUAGUUCUUUUUUCAAUUUGUAAUUACCUAUUUAUUUUGCUUGUGGUUUGCUGCACCCAUUAACUCAUCAUUUACAUUAGGUAAAAGCAAUGGCAACAAAAGCCAAAAUAGACAAAUGGGAUCUAAUUAAACUAAAGAGCUGUUGCACAGCAAAAGAAACUAAAGGCAUCACCUAAUAAUUUUAUCAGUCGUAUUUGUUAUAUUUUUAUAGAUUCACAUAACAUUAAGGAGUCAUCUUUAGUUAUAACUUAAAAGGCUCAUACAUUGUCACUGGAGGCAUUGCCUAUAAUCUAAAAAACCCUUAGUUACAGAUUCUUCCUAGUCUCAUUUUU
rnacentral:lncRNA from 10 species